AGAGUUUGAUCAUGGCUCAGAAUGAACGCUGGCGGCGUGCUUAACACAUGCAAGUCGCACGAGAACGCUUCAGCUUGCUGGAGCUAGUAAAGUGGCGCACGGGUGAGUAACGCGUGGGUAAUCUACCUCCGAAUUGGGGAUAACACUGCGAAAGCGGUGCUAAUACCGAAUGACAUCUCAGGGACCUCGGUCUCUAAGAUCAAAGGUGGCCUCUACAUGUAAGCUACUGUUUGGAGAUGAGCCCGCGUACCAUUAGCUAGUUGGUAGGGUAAUGGCCUACCAAGGCUGCGAUGGUUAGCUGGUCUGAGAGGAUGAUCAGCCACACUGGAACUGACACACGGUCCAGACUCCUACGGGAGGCAGCAGUGAGGAAUUUUGCGCAAUGGGGGAAACCCUGACGCAGCAACGCCGCGUGAGUGAUGAAGGCUUUCGGGUCGUAAAGCUCUGUCAAGUGGGAAGAAUAUGCCCUGUGAUAAUACCAUGGGGCACUGACGGUACCACUGAAGGAAGCACCGGCUAACUCCGUGCCAGCAGCCGCGGUAAUACGGGGGGUGCAAGCGUUAUUCGGAAUCAUUGGGCGUAAAGGGCGCGUAGGCGGCCCCUUAAGUCAGAUGUGAAAGCCCUCAGCUUAACUGAGGAAGUGCAUUUGAAACUAAGGGGCUUGAGUAUGGGAGAGGGAAGCGGAAUUCCUGGUGUAGCGGUGAAAUGCGUAGAUAUCAGGAGGAACACCGGUGGCGAAGGCGGCUUCCUGGACCAAUACUGACGCUG
rnacentral:rRNA from 1 species